rnacentral:rRNA from 1 species
CAACUUUGAGCAACGGAUCUCUUGGCUCUCCCAUCGAUGAAGAACGCAGCGAAAUGCGAUAAGUAAUGUGAAUUGCAGAAUUCAGUGAAUCAUCGAAUCUUUGAACGCACCUUGCGCCCUUUGGUAUUCCGAAGGGCAUGCCUGUUCGAGUGUUAUU